rnacentral:rRNA from 1 species
GUGGGGAAUAUUGGACAAUGGGGGGAACCCUGAUCCAGUCAUGCCGCGUGUGUGAAGAAGGCCUUUUGGUUGUAAAGCACUUUAAGCGAGGAGGAGGCUACCGAGAUUAAUACUCUUGGAUAGUGGACGUUACUCGCAGAAUAAGCACCGGCUAACUCUGUGCCAGCAGCCGCGGUAAUACAGAGGGUGCAAGCGUUAAUCGGAUUUACUGGGCGUAAAGCGCGCGUAGGUGGCCAAUUAAGUCAAAUGUGAAAUCCCCGAGCUUAACUUGGGAAUUGCAUUCGAUACUGGUUGGCUAGAGUAUGGGAGAGGAUGGUAGAAUUCCAGGUGUAGCGGUGAAAUGCGUAGAGAUCUGGAGGAAUACCGAUGGCGAAGGCAGCCAUCUGGCCUAAUACUGACACUGAGGUGCGAAAGCAUGGGGAGCAAACAGGAUUAGAUACCCUAGUAGUCC